GUCAGCCUUUGGGGUGGGAUGGCCAGCCGAAGGGACUUUUGAUCCCAGUGUUUGCCAGGCAUUUUGGGGCAAAGUCACUGGUCACCCUGGCCACUGAGACCAAUUUCCCUACAUAGACAUCUGGGUUCAAGCUUGUGAGAAACCUCCGGCUUGGCUGCAGUGCUGUUCCCUCCAAACAGACACUUGCAUUUUAGUCACUGCCCCAAAAGGGCCCUGGGAAUUUAAGCCCUGGGCUCCUAAGCCAGUUCUCUUGCAGGAACCUGGCCCCCUGGAUCCCUUAGGAGGGCCUCAGCCCUAUGUGGAAUCCCCCACCCCCUCAGAUGGCUCCUGCUCUGAACACCACAAUCCUUCCCUUCCUCCGUCUGUUCAAACUUCGGCUCCUACUCCUCUCUAUCCUCCUCUCCCUGUGGGGCCUCAGUCCCCAGACUCUGACUUCUCCCCCACACUUGUGAGCUGGGGCUGUGUAUGGACCUUGCAAGGUCCCCACUGGGGAAAUUAGUUCAGCCCUUCUCUUGCCCCUUCAGGAGACAGAACAAGGUCACUAUGUUUAUAUCACCUUCACUACCAGUGACUUAUAUAAUUGGAAACAUCAAAGUCCUCCCUUCUCAGAGAAGCCCCAAGCCCUAAUAUCUCUCCUAGAGUCUGUCUUCCAUACCUGUGAUCCUACUUGGGAUGAUUGCCAACAACUCCUCCAGGCCCUUUUUACCUCAGAGGAGAGGGAAAGGAUCCGAGGAGAAGCUGUGAGGUCGGUACUAGGUGGACUGGAAGGCCCCCUAGAUGACCAACAGUGAGCCCAUCUGGAAGAACAGCUCCCAUCCAUCCAACCCCACUGGCAAACUAAUACCUUGGGUGGGAGAGAAGCUCUCCAGAACUAUCAUCAGCAUCUCCUGGCCAGCCUGAGGGGAGCCGCUCAGAAGUCUACCAAUUUGAGCAAGGUAAGCGAGGUCCUUCAAGGACCAGAGGAAUCCCCUUCUGCCUUUUUGGAGCAUCUGUUGGAAGCAUACUGUACAUAUACUCCAAUUGAUCCAGAUGCCCCUGCAAAUCGGCAGGCAAUAAAUUUGGCAUUUGUUACCCAGUCAGCUCCAGCCAUUAGAAAGAAGCUACAAAGACUAGAAGGACUUGAGGGAGAGAAUAGAAAAAAGUUUAUGAGUGCAGCCAUGAAGGCAUUUAACAAUAGACAUCCUCCAGAAGAGAGGAUGGCCAAGAGGCUGGGAAAAGCAACCAUAGCCACCUUGGCUGAGGGAGGAUUUGUCCAGAAAGAAAGACUCAAAAAUAAGGGAGGGAGCAAGGGGAGGAUUUGACCCCUAUUAGAAAAAGAUCAAUGUGCCUAUUGUAAGGAAAAGGGCCAUUUUAAGAAGGACUGUGAAAAGCUAAAAAGAAAAAGAAAAAAGGAGACCCAAAAGAAAAAAGGUGAAAUCCUCUUAAUAGAUGAAGAAGAUUGAUGGGGCCAAGGCUCAUGGCUGCUCAACCCUAGUGAGCCUAUGGUCACUUUGGAGAUAGGGGGAACAGAUGUUCAGUUCCUUGUGGACACUGGUGUGGCCCACUCUGUUUUUAAGAACCCCCCUUGGACCCCUCACUUCCUCAAAAACCUCCAUUACUGGAGCCACUGGAAAAGUGGACCCCUACCCUUGGACCACUAGAAGGACUGUGAAUCUAGAAAAAGGAACCAUCACUCAUUCCUUCUUAGUUAUCCCUGAGUGCCCAUAACCAUUGCUGGGGAGAGACUUGCUAUGAAAGUUGGAGGCUAUUAUUUCCUUUGAGCCUGAAAGAGGGACCUUUGAGCUUAAGCCAGCCUCCACCAUUAUGGUGAUGGUUCCCCUAGAAGAUGAAUUUAGAUUGCUAAAGGAGGGCACAGAGCCCCCUGAACAAAAAUGGGACUACCUUCAGAAAAAGUUUCCCAGGGUAUGGGCUGAAACCAAUCCACCUGGGUUGGCCAACCACCAUGCCCUGGUGGUGGUCCAGUUGCUGGCCUCUGCUGCCCCCAUCUAUGUGUGACAAUACCCCCUCCAGCUGGAGGCCACGGUGGGAAUCUCUAAGCACAUCCACUGACUCCAAGAGGCUGGCAUUUUGGUCCCUUGCCAGUCAGCCUGGAAUACUCCCCUGCUUCCUGUGAGGAAGCUUGGCACCUCAGACUUCAGACUGGUACAGGAUUUGUGGGAGGUGAACAGUCAGGUGGAGACCAUCCACCCAACAGUACCAAACCCCUAUACUCUGCUGAGUCUCAUCCCUCCUGCCCAUGUGUGGUAUUCAGUACUAGACCUCAAAGAUGCAUUUUUCAGCAUACCUCUAGCACCAGUGAGCCAACCCCUCUUUGCCUUUGAGUGGACUGACCCAGACACUGGAACUACCAGACAGCUGACAUCGAACUGGCUGCCACAGGGAUUCAAGAACUCUCCCACUCUGUUUGGGGAAGCUCUCAGCAAAGAUUUACAAGGUGUAAGGAGAGUUUUUCCCCAAGCAACUAUUCUUCAAUAUGUAGAUAACCUCCUAGUGGCAACUUCAACCAAUGAAGAAUGUCUUGUGGCCACUGAGGGCCUCCUGGAAGUUCUCUGAGACCUGGGAUAUUGGAUGUCCUGGAAAAAAGCUCAGCUUUGCCAGACCAAGGUAACCUACUUGGGCUAUAUUCUUGAGGAAGGGAAGAGGAGGCUGGCAGAAUCACGGGUAUCGGCAAUUCUCCAGAUUCCAGAACCAAGCUCAAAGAAACAGGUUUGACUCCAAGAUCCUUGAACCCCGCUGGAAGGGACCAUUUCCCGUCAUCCUGGUGACUCCCUCAGCAGUGAAGUAGCCGGACACUCUGCCUGGAUCCACCACAGCCAUUUAAAGGCAGCACUCCUGGAGGAAGCAAUGUCAACAUGGCAGAUUGAUU